UACGGGAGGCAGCAGUGGGGAAUAUUGCACAAUGGGCGCAAGCCUGAUGCAGCCAUGCCGCGUGUAUGAAGAAGGCCUUCGGGUUGUAAAGUACUUUCAGUCGUGAGGAAGGUGUUAAGGUUAAUAACCUUAGCAAUUGACGUUAGCGACAGAAGAAGCACCGGCUAACUCCGUGCCAGCAGCCGCGGUAAUACGGAGGGUGCGAGCGUUAAUCGGAAUUACUGGGCGUAAAGGGCACGCAGGCGGUUAAUUAAGUUGGAUGUGAAAUCCCCGGGCUUAACCUGGGAAUGGCAUUCAAGACUGGUUAGCUAGAGUCUUGUAGAGGGGGUAGAAUUCCAUGUGUAGCGGUGAAAUGCGUAGAGAUGUGGAGGAAUACCGGUAGCGAAGGCGGCCCCUGGACAAAGACUGACGCUCAUGUGCGAAAGCGUGGGGAGCAAAC
rnacentral:rRNA from 1 species